rnacentral:rRNA from 1 species
AUGAACAAGAAUCUUGGCAAGAGAACUGCUGAAGCUGGUGGAAAGGAUGCUCAGCGCAAGCGACUACGUGUGAGGGAUGUUCAUACUGGUAGACGCAAAGACUGUGGUUCAUCUAAGAGUCUACCCAAGCGUGCCCGUGAUGAUGUCGAUGAAGAUGUUGGUGCUGACUCCGGCGAGGAGGCGGAUGUUGUUCCAAAGAGGAAGAAGUCUAGUAAGAGUAAUGCAACUGAAGAUGAUGUUGAGGGUGAUGAUUCUCGAUUUAACAAGACCGUACGUUUGUCGCUUCCCACUGUUUGCAAGGCUGCUGCUUUGUUGAAAGAGGCACACUAUAGUCGUGUUCGGGAUGCUGGAUUCGGUAUUGUCUUUCAAUUGACAGUAAAGAAAAAUGUGUCGCGCAUUCUUAUGUGCUAUCUGAUGGGAGUGAUUGCCACCAUGAUAAUGGACUUUGGGAAUGGCAGGGUUCUUCGAAUCAAUCGUGAUGCAGUUCUUCACAUUUUUGAUUUACCUAUGGGACGUCACACUGCACCCAUGCCUGCUGCGAGCGGCCAUGAUGACUCGUUGACUGCCCUCAAGGAUGAGCUUGGUUUUGACCGUUCAAAAAGUAUAGGUGUCAAGGACUUGCUUGAAAAGUUGAAGGUCUUGGUGGAGGAAUUUGAUCAUGUGACUGUUGACCUUGCUAUGAAGGUGUUCUUCCUGAUACUUUACCAGAAUUUGUUGUGCCCCGGUCCUACAGUUUGUUUGGGUAGAGUUGCUGCAAUGGUAGAGAACAUGGAUUAUGCGGCUAUGGCGCAGAUGGACUUUUGCCAGCUUGUUGUUGAUGAGUUGUAG